CAUUUUUUAUUAAUCAUUCGACGACGACUUCGCGUCUCCACCCACCACCGGCUGACCCCUGGCCCAAAAACCAACCGAACUUUACCCACCCGUUCAACCACUGGACGAAUCUUUCUCUGUUUCGUAUCGUAAAAGCUACGUUUUCAAUCCUAAAAAAUCUAGGGCUUUCACAUCCAUGACGGAACCAUCCUCUUCACCUUCUCCUGACUCUCGUCGGUCUAAGCUUGACGAUAUGGAUAUUCACCUACCGGUGGCUGAAGAUCCUUCGUCUUCAAUCUGGGACUGGGGAGAUCUACUGGACUUCACCGUAGACGAUCAAUUCCCAAUAUCUUUCGAUUCUGUCGACACCGCAAGUACUAUCGUUUCGCAAGUCGAUCCUAUUGAGGCAACUCCAGUUCCAGAUCGGGUUAGGAAGCGGGACCCGAGGUUGACCUGCUCCAAUUUUCGGGCAGGCAGGGUCCCCUGCGAGUGCCCGGAGCUCGACGAGAAGUUAGAGGAAGAGGGUAUGCCGGGGAAGAAGCGGGUCCGAACGACUAGGUCCAGUACUGGUGUUACUCGGUGUCAGGUGCCUGGCUGCGAGGCUGAUAUUAGCGAGCUUAAGGGGUAUCAUAAGAGGCACAGGGUUUGUUUACGAUGCGCGAAUGCUAGUACUGUUGUACUUGAUGGAGAGAACAAGAGAUACUGUCAACAGUGUGGCAAGUUUCACUUGCUGUCAGAUUUUGACGAAGGUAAACGGAGUUGUAGGAGAAAAUUAGAGCGUCACAACAAUAGACGACGAAGACAGCCCCAUGAUUCCAAGGGAGCGGUAGACAAGGAACCUCAAGGGGAGUUGCUUAGUGAAGAUACUGCUUGUGAUGGUGAAGCUGAAAAAGACUGUCAGAUAGUUGAGAAAGAAGCAUUGGUUGAAUCUGAAGAUGGAAAAGUUUCCGGCCUUCACUCGGCUCCCAAUUCCCAAAAUCUCAAUAGCGAUAGUGGUGUAUCUGUCGGAACCCCAAAGGAUAGCGGAAAAGACGAUUCCAGAUUUGCGCUUUCUCCUUUCAAUUGUGAGAAUAAGAGUUUUUACUCAUCUGCGUGCCCAACAGGUCGGAUCUCAUUCAAGCUUUACGAUUGGAAUCCAGCAGAAUUCCCUAGAAGGCUUCGACACCAAAUAUUCGAAUGGUUGGCCAGUAUGCCAGUUGAGUUGGAGGGAUAUAUUCGCCCUGGUUGUACCAUCUUGACUGCAUUUCUUACAAUGCCAACAUUUAUGUGGGCAAAGUUAUUGGAAGACCCUGUGUCAUACUUGCAUGAUUUUGUUAUCGUUCCUGGAAAAAUGCUGUCCAAGAGGAGCCCAAUGCUAAUUUAUCUGAACAACAUGAUCUUCCAUGUUAUGAAGGAUGGAAAUUCAGUAACAAAAGUAAACAUGGAACGGCGUGCCCCAAGACUGCACUAUGUUCAUCCAACAUGCUUUGAGGCUGGGAAGCCCAUAGAGUUUGUUGCUUGUGGAAGUAAUCUGUUGCAACCCAAAUUCAGGCUUCUGGUAUCAUUUGCUGGGAAAUAUCUUGCAUAUGAUUACUGCAUAGUAUUACCACAUGAUCGCACUGAAGGAUGUUCCAGCCUUGACCAUCAGUUGUGCAAGAUAUUUAUUCCUCAUGUUGAACCGAAUCUCUUUGGUCCUGCAUUUAUUGAGGUUGAAAAUGAGAGGGGAUUAUCAAACUUCAUUCCUGUACUUGUUGGGAAUGGAGAAAUUUGUUCUGAAAUGAAAAUAAUUCAGCAGAGGUUUGCUUCAUCUCAUCUGUCAAGCGGUUCACAGUGUGAGUUUUCUGCACAUAGACAAAUGGCUUUUUCAGAAUUAGUUGUGGAUAUAGGAUGGUUAUUAAAGAAGCCUUCGUCAGAAAGCUUUCACCAAAUCACGAGGUCUUCACAGAUUCAAAGGCUCAAUUCUUUGUUGAAUUUUUUGGUACACCAUGAAUCAACUGCCACAUUGGAUAAAAUUUUACAAAAUCUGAAAAUCAUAUUGGAUGAAAUGGAGAAAAACAGGGUAGCUUAUGGCAUUAGUGAUUCUGAAAUGUUUUUAUUACAGAAAUAUAUGGAUAGUGCCAGUGAUAUUCUUCUUCAAAAGGUUAAGAAGAGUGAUGAUUUAGCUAUCCACUGGGAAUAUACUGUGGACGAAAGUGAUGUUAGAAGAUGUUAUGAAAGUAGCAUGCCAUCAGUUGCUGCCAUUUUCACCAGUGAGGAUCUUGAAAGAAGCUCAAAUGGUAAGUUGGGAGUGAUUUCAAACUUAUAUGCUGUUGUUAGAAGUGACAAGGUUCCACUUUUGAGUAAAGAGGUUGUUAUGGAUGUGAGGCUCAGCAAAGAAUGUCCAAACAAGUCAUCUAGUCUCUGUUUUUCUAACAGAGUCCUGAAGUCGCGCCCCACAGUAUUUUUAAUUGCCACUUUUGCACUUUGUUUGGGAGUAUGUGCCAUCCUCUUCCACCCUAACCAGGUGAGCAAAUUUGCAAUAUCUAUACGCAGAUGUUUGACAGAGAGAUUUUAGAUGCUAAAGCUAGUUAAAUUGAAUCACCGAUUGGUUUGAAUGCGGUUCAGUUUAAGGAGCCUGGCAGGAGGAAAUCAGAAGGAUACUACUAUUCGGCUAUCAAGGACUCUGUUUCAUAUCAAGGUAAAUUACAUCAACUUGACAGCGUUGUGUUUUAAGAAGAAGAUUAAAAUUCCAAUUGUAGAGUUCCUGAAAGCUUUAUGGGAGGGCCAGUGAAUCGGUGCUCCAGUUCAGGGACACCAUUGAAUAGAUUGAAACAGAGGAUUGGUAGGAGCCCCAUCUGAUCUGUGCAUAUCAUAUGAUUUUGUAGAUGGGAAGCGACAGGAUUUUCUCCGUCUUGUUUCUGUAUAGAAUUUCUAUACAGUUGAUAGUCGAGGUUUUCGGAGGAUGCCUUUGAACUUCACACAACGAUUUCUGAUGACGAAAGAAACUGGCAUAAGAAAAUCUUCAACUCAUUCAUGAAAAUUUUAGCUAUUGCUUUUAGAUUGUGGUGUUGUUUAAUAAAAAAAAAAAAUUUGAGUUUUUA